CCUACGGGAGGCUGCAGUGGGGAAUAUUGCUCAAUGGGCGAAAGCCUGACGCAGCGACGCCGCGUGAGGGAUGAAGGUCUUCGGAUCGUUAACCUCUGUCAGCAGGGAAGAACGGUCACUGUGCUAAGCAGCAGUGAAUUGACGGUACCUGCAAAGGACGCACCGGCUAAUGCCGUGCCAGCAGCCGCUGCAAUACGGAGGGUGCGAGCGUUAAUCGGAAUUACUGGGCGUAAAGCGCUCGUAGGUGGUAUGUCAAGUCAAGGGUGAAAUCCCCGGGCUCAACGUGGGAACUGCCUUUGAAACUGGCAGACUGGAGUGUGUGAGAGGAUAGUGGAAUUCGAGGUGUAGGAGUGAAAUCCGUAGAUAUCUGGAGGAACAUCGGUGGCGAAGGCGACUAUCUGGCACAUAACUGACGCUGAGGAGCGAAAGCGUGGGUAGCAAACAGGAUUAGAUACCCUGGUAGUC
rnacentral:rRNA from 1 species